GACGAACGCUGGCGGCGUGCUUAACACAUGCAAGUCGAACGGAAAGGCCCUGCUUUUGUGGGGUGCUCGAGUGGCGAACGGGUGAGUAACACGUGAGUAACCUGCCCUUGACUUUGGGAUAACUUCAGGAAACUGGGGCUAAUACCGGAUAGGAUCUCCUGCUGCAUGGUGGGGGUUGGAAAUUUUCGGCGGUUGGGGAUGGACUCGCGGCUUAUCAGCUUGUUGGUGGGGUAGUGGCUUACCAAGGCUUUGACGGGUAGCCGGCCUGAGAGGGUGACCGGCCACAUUGGGACUGAGAUACGGCCCAGACGCGAACGUGAGGCAACAGGGGGGAAUAUUGCACAGUGGGCGGAAGCCGGAUGCAGCAGCGCCGCGUGCGGGAUGACGGCCUUCGGGGUGUAAACCGCUGUCGCCUGUGACGAAGCGUGAGUGACGGUAAUGGGUAAAGAAGCACCGGCUAACUACGUG
rnacentral:rRNA from 1 species